CUUUAUCUUAUUGAUAACUGAUGAACAGAAAUCGUUUUUCAUUCGUGCAGAUUAUUAUCACCAUUCAUAGAGUGGUGGGAUAGCGCGUCUGUUUUAAGCGAAAACCCGCCAGUCAGGCGGGUUUA
rnacentral:misc_RNA from 1 species